rnacentral:lncRNA from 1 species
UAUAUUCUUGGACAGAUACCGAAGAACCAAAGGCACCGGCACCUGCACCGGCACCGGCACAGGCACCGGCAGAGGAAGAAAAGGGAGAAGGGUAUGGGCAAUACGUGAAAAUGGCAGAAGGAUUUCUGAAACCAGGAGAUGGUGAAUCGGCAAAAGCAUCUGAAGGAGGAUCAGGACCAGAUUAUCUUAAGUUGGCCGGUGACUUCUUAGGCAAGAAGUGAUUAGUUUAAUCAUUUUUUUUUUUUUUUUUUAAAUUAUGGCUGUUAUAUUCCAAGUUUCUUUUCUUUCACUUUCUUUGCCACUGUUCAGUGUUCAUUACCGGCGGCGAAUUUCUCUAGUCGCCGGAGCUGGUUUUUACUUGGCAUAUGUAAUUUGUGUGUAUGUUUUUUUCCAGUAUGAUUUUUAGGGUGUAAUGGAAUUUGUGUUGUAUGGAUAAAGUGUGAACUUUUAUGAUGUUAUUGGUGUAUACGGUGCAGUGUGAUUCUUAUAUUCGGCUUCCUUUUAUUUUUUAUAUACAAUACAAAAAGAAGUAAUAUAAAGUUGUAAU